rnacentral:rRNA from 1 species
UACGAAGGGGGCUAGCGUUGCUCGGAAUCACUGGGCGUAAAGGGUGCGUAGGCGGGUCUUUAAGUCAGGGGUGAAAUCCUGGAGCUCAACUCCAGAACUGCCUUUGAUACUGAAGAUCUUGAGUUUCGGGAGAGGUGAGUGGAACUGCGAGUGUAGAGGUGAAAUUCGUAGAUAUUCGCAAGAACACCAGUGGCGAAGGCGGCUCACUGGCCCGAUACUGACGCUGAGGCACGAAAGCGUGGGGAGCAAACAGG